ACUCAAAUGAAUUGACGGGGGCCCGCACAAGCAGUGGAGCGUGUGGUUUAAUUCGACGCAACGCGCAGAACCUUACCAGGGCUUGACACCAUAGUGAAACGUCUGGAAACAGAUUCCCUGUAGCAAUACAGCGCUAUGACAGGUGUUGCAUGGUUGUCGUCAGCUCGUGUCGUGAGAUGUUGGGUUAAGUCCCGCAACGAGCGCAACCCCUAUUUGAUGUUGCCACCGGGUAAAGCCGGGCACUCAUCGAAGACUGCCGGAGACGAUCCGGAGGAAGGUGGGGAUGACGUCAAAUCAUCAUGGCCCUUAUGCCCUGGGCCACACACGCGCUACAAUGGCCGGUACAACGGGCAGCUAAAGAGCGAUCUGGAGCGAAUCCCUUAAAGCCGGUCUCAGUUGGGAUUGGGGGCUGAAACUCGUCCCCAUGAACCCGGAAUUGCUAGUAAUCGCGGAUCAGCUACGCCGCGGUGAAUACGUUCCCGGGCCUUGUACACACCGCCCGU
rnacentral:rRNA from 1 species